rnacentral:lncRNA from 1 species
UGAUAUCCUCUAACAUUGUAAUUAUGGACUUAUGUCUAGCAGCUAAGAUCCAAGAAUUGAAAGUCUCACACAUGUUAUUUUUUACAAUAUCACAUUUGGAAUGUGUUUUGAAAUAUGUCCUACACCAAGAAGUAGGAGGAUUAAUCAGCAUGUCCUCAGUUAUUUCUUUCUUACCUAGCCUUGACAUUGCUUGCAUCUCCUCUCUAAACUUUACUUCAAAGCUUGCUUUUGCAAAUCUCCAAAACUGUUUCCUUCUCUU